ACCUGUGAGAAAGGGGAGACGCAUACAGGAAGCCUUUGCUACAGGCUUUAGAUGAAGCGAUGUGGUUUGGUAAACAUAGAACUUGAUGUGCUUUUUCCCCAUUUUUUUGAUUCAUGCAAAUAGCAGCAAAAAAUCUCAGUGUGCUUUAAUAAGCACCAGCAAUAAUAUUUAUUGCCAGGUGAGGCGUUCAGUCUUCUUGCCUGCUUUUGGCAACUACAGCAAUUAAUUUGGGAACAUUUCUAAGCUGCCUUUUAUGAGCUUUUUUUUCCUGAGUCCUUUGAAAAAAGCCUUAACCACCAGAACAAACUCCUCAUCUCCAUUUUCUGCGUGGGAGUUUGCUUCUUACCUGGCUCCACUGUUAACUUACGGUGUGAUCCUAGGAAUGCCACAAAGUCGCUUAAGCUGACAGUGGUCACCAGGUUAAAAAGAGGGCCUCUCUGGGGAGGGACCAAAAAGGUUCCAUCUAGAAUUCUGCUCUCUGUGGAGAGCUCCCUUUGUGUCCCGCAGGUUUCUGCCCUGAUCAGCCCGGCUCCUCUGAGGCUUGUGCUAGAGCCAGCCUCCGCGCACAGACCAGAAUCGCACCAGAGGUCACCUGCCCUCGUGAGUGGGAAGGGGAACUGCAAGCUCUGAGUUCUGCCUAUCUCCAGAGACACGGACAGCACAGCUUACGUGCCCCGCAGCUGGGAGGAGCUCUGAUUUCUCACCUCAUGUUUUGACUGAGGCAAAUCAAGGAGAGGCCUACCACAGUAUGAUCUGCAAACACAGAUCACAACAAGUACAUGAGUCCGCAUCGCUUCAGGGAGACCUUGUUGCAGGCAGUAUCCAAAGCAUUUGGAAAUUCCUGGAGAGAGAAGUUUAAUUUUGGUGUCCCACCAUCACUUAGUACGUACCUUGUAGAGAGCAUCCACCUUCAGAGUAAAUCCGUCGACUCCAGGCAUGCUGCUCACUGACUGAAACUCGGGCAGCUCAGAAGCGAAGUGGGCAUCAAAAGGCACAUCGUGGAAAUACUUAUCUGUCACCUCGGGCUGGUUGCGGUCCUGGGAAGCAGAGCGGGAGUGCGUGCUGUCAGCAUCAUGCACUGAGACAGCCUUCAGGGGCUGCUUCAGUGGCAGGGUGAAGGAAAGCGAUGGUAAUUUGAAAGCAUGCAAUUAGAGCUGCAUGCAGGCUGGGAGGUAGCUGUAGCUUUAUAUGGCGGAGGAGAAUUCCUGUGUAGCUGAUAAAUAGAUCCUCUAUAUGCUGCCAGUCCUGUCAGCUCCAAGCCAUGGUAUAAACAGAGAUCAAGAGAAUUUUUAAAAGCUUGGUAUACCCCUUUUUUCCUCCCUCAUUUGUUUUUUCUUUAGACUAAGGGAUAAGCUACCCAGUCUGUAAAGAUAAGACCAUGUCUGCCUGGUACUACAAAAAAGCCACCCCAUUUCCCUUCUCAUCCCUUUUUAGUCAGAAUUUGUUUGUGAUAGGGGAAAAAAAACAAAGCAGAAGCAGAGGAGAGCUCUGCAAGCAAAUUGUUUCAGUACGGACCCCUCACAGUGCUCCCUGCUGUGCAGCCUGUCCCCACAAGCAGGCAUAUCAUUUUGCUCCCAGGUCCCUUAGGUUACUGAGAGACAAGACUUAUCCAGACACAAUCACACGUAACGCUCCAUGGUGUGGUUUUGUCCAGGGCAGAAAACUUACCAAGAGGAGAAAUCUGUGUUUCAGGUGCUUGUUGGGUUGAAUGCAGCCAUACUGCGGCCCCUCGUUGUAGACGGUUCCCGUUGGGUCAAAGAAAGGCACGUAGCCAUCCUUGCCCGUGCACAGGUAGACCUUCUCCAGCUGCAGCUUGUAAGCAGCGUUCAGGUUUUGUUCGGGGUUCCAGAGCACGCGGCCAUACAGGAUUUGCCCUGGGGAGGUUGGGAGAACAAGUCAGGUUAAACUCUCCAAGAGACAGCAAGAAGGCGGUGACAGGAAGCUCCACAAACGAAGCACUGUGACAGCCACACACAUCGAGCUGCAGGUGGCUGUGGUUUUGCACAUGUGCGUGUGCAGAUGACAGAAGGCUCUGCCAUGAGCACAUUCUGGUCCUGCUAUCACAGGGCUGUGGAUGUGCCCAAAUACCAUCUGGUGCUGUAAAAGAGGCAAAGCCAAAUCAGAGCUUUAUCCUCCUCUGCCAGAGGAAUGGAAGUUCUGAAAACAGCACCAUGCCAGGAACAGGAAUGAAAAAAAUCCUACCCUUUGAAAAAGCCCCCUUGUAAUCCAUUUCUGCCAGAGACAUUUCGGAUUUGGUGGGAUCCAUCAGAAACACCUUCUCAUUGUUACAGAGCUGAAACUCCGUGUUUAGGGAGUAGACGACAGGAACGGGGCGGUUCGUCUGCUGGAAGGCAAUCGGGAUCAAAAAUCUGAAAUUGGGACAGGAGAGGAAAAAGUGCUCUCACCUCUGAACUUGGCCUGGGUCUUGAACUCGAUAACCAGCCGGCCAUCCUCGCGGAUGUAGAUCCUGAUUAUCUGCAGCCGGGCUGAAAGGACGCUGUCUGUCUGAAUCCCUGUGUGGUGCAGCAAGAACAGAGUCACUGGAGAGGCCACGUGGCACAACAAGUCCCCAGGAGCAGAGAGAACGCCGGCGCUCUCGCUGACGUGGUACGUCUUCCUGUCGAACUGCAGGGUGGGCUCAUCCUCUGCGUCAGUGAUGGUGACCGUGGCCCGGGUGAUGCUCCCCAGCAGCGCGUAGGCUGGCAUGCUGAGCUCCACAGUGAAGCUCUCCGCGCUCUCAAAGACCUCGUCAUCGUUAACAACGAUGGUGCAGGCCUUGGUGUCCUCCCGCUCCUCAAACUGCACCUGCAAGGCAGAAAGCGGGCUGCUCCCUCUGGACUGGGGUCUGAAACUUUCUCUCCUUCCCGCACCACCCUGGCCUCAGUCACACCCUGUGCGUAGGCAGCUCCGUACACCGACCUUAACCAAGGACAAAUGGCUAGCAGAGGCCAAAGGCAGCAGCAAAUGCAGCGUGCAGGCCCCCACCCUUCUGGUCUCAGUCAUGUUUUAGGCUUUCGCAUGGUUGUGAGUGACAUUCCUAUCCAGGCAAGCCUGCGAAGCUUGUAAUCUGUCACAACACUGCUGCAAAACAUAUCUGCCAACAUGAAAUCCUGAUGGAAAAAGGGACCCUCGUCUGAAGGCAAAUAAAACACAUCUUUUUUAGAAAGGAAAUAGUCUCCUCUGUUUUUAUCAGCUUUACUGAGACUAAUAUCACUGGCAUCAUACACUUUACCAGGCAACAGCAUUGCUGGCUCUUGUGUAUGAACACUGAACUUUGCUCAAGGUCAUAGGAUCACAGAACCUACUUAAAUUAAAAGAAAUAUUGCUCAAAGAAGAUAAAAUAUGCUCAAAGUCAUGUCAAUACUUAUAUCAGCAACAGUUACAAAAAUCAGGGGUUAACACAGUACAGGACAAGGCAGAAAAAGGGGUGAUCACCAUUAAAAGUGAGCUUUCUGGAAAAGUGUCAAAAGAGCCUUUGGGGAAAACGAUGUCACUGUGAAUUCCCAGUGCUUUGUUGAGGAUGAUUAACGCAGUCCUCAACUGCAGAGAGAAGGAAAGAAAUGGAAGGAUGGAGGUACCCGGAUCCCAUGCACAGUGCUGGGGAGACAGUGAAAUUCUUUAGGAACUGCUGGUGUCUCUAUGCUAAGGAGUCUGAAGGAAAAAAUGGCCAGGGCCAGGGAAAAAUCCUAACAAUUACUUGUGCAACUACUGUGCAGUCAAAUCUUCAAAUAAAGGCAAAACGAGAGUAAGUUA